UUCUAAACAUCAAAAUAGGUUGCUUGCCUCCAACUAAGUUUCUUUCAAUAGUUAUCUGUGAACUCAUGAUUCACCUUCUUCCUUCAUUUGCUGUCACUGCUGCAUGUUCUUGUUUCUGCUGCAACUGUUGCUUUUUGGUGGCCAAGGAAACGAACUAAAAUAUGGAAGGCAUGCCUAGUCAUAUGCACUAGGGAUGGUCAAAUCUACAACCAGAAUGCCCAUACUCAGCUUUACAGGUUUGUGAAGUGCUUUACACAGGUACAGAAGAAACUCAUGUGCAGAAGUUCAAGAUCACCACUCAAAGAAUUACUGCCGCAGGUAAGGAAGUAGUGAAUCAAUGUUACUUUGUAAAGAUUUAUAGAAAGCACAGAGCUAUUUGGGAGAUACUACAGACUUAUCAAGCAGCUGCAAAUGUACCUUGCUUCUUUUCUCUCUAGAGCCAUCAAAAAGUUGACAAGGUCAGGAAGACUUUUGCUUAUUCAUGGGAAAAUGUAAGUUAUAGGAGGCAGCAAAUUACCUAAGGAAACAAACUCUACUGCCUGCAGCUGAGAGCCAGCAGAAUCACACAGUAGGUUAGCCAGGUGGAAAUUAUACCACACAUCUGCUUUUCUUAGCAUUAGGGAAAAGCUUUUACCCCUAGAUACUUGGGAAACAUACAGCAAAUGUUCACUUCUGGGUCUGAAGGACACAUCAGCUAAAUGAGCUACAGCAAGAAGUUUUAACCGUGAUGUGGUUUCAAUGAUAUCUAGGACAAGUAUGGCUCGCUCCUGGAGACUACUGGAUCGCUGUUCCACCACGCAACCUGGAGAACUGGCUUGUCAUGUGGGUGACCUGUGUCAUCACAAACUGCCAUGCUUUGUGCUAGCAUGGAGGCCAACGACAAUGGAAGAGUUGAUGAUCAAUAUAAUAUGGAACUAUCACUAUCACAGAACUUUGAAAUAAGGAACUGGCAUUAAAAUGGAUACAUUUGCAUUGGACACAAGGACAAAUCACCUGGUACAUCUAGUCUAAAAAUGAUGUUUUGAGAGUACUAACUGUUAGCGUUCAAAGUAGGGUUAGAAUAUUAGAUGUAUCAAUUUGCUUGUUCUCCUGUUUAACAGAGAAGUAACUUAACAUUAUUUCCAUGGUCACAGGUGGUUUCCACGGAGUCGGAUAAAACAAGAUUUGCAGUAAGGGUCUAAGGAUUAAUUUUGCAUGCAUUGAAGACUGAACUGCAGAAUGACAAAAAGAAAAAGAAAAAAAAAGAGAGAAGUUUAGAGAAGCUUUGUUCACGGACAGGGUUUCAUCCUGGCAACACUUCUUGAGAUGCUCAUGUGACCUCCUCAGUAUUUCGAGGAGUCAGCUGAGGAUCCCGAAGAACUGUUGGCUGAACUUCUGACUCAAGGAACACAUAUACCUGCUGCUACCAUCCAAUGGCAAAUGGUCUCUGAAAUUUUCCUUGUGAAUGAGGCAAUGGGAAACCCUCCCCCCCAGUAAUGAUGCCUCUUUUCACAGGGAGGAAAACAUGUGGCAAAAGUCUCUCUCUCCCCCCAGCCAUGACUCUAUAGAAAGGUUGGUAUAUCCCUGACUGAAAAGCAUAGGUUCACUUGCUGGCUAAUUUGCACAUGUGUGGUAUCAGACCUAAACCAGUCAUUUAAAGGAGGAUGAAAAAAGGAUUUGAUCUAACCUAUUCAGCAGUCUGUUGCAUGCCACAUUUCUCAUCUACCAGAUUAGUCCUUCCCUCAGCUGGAACCUGCCAAGAUAUAACCUCCAAAAGCUAACUGAUAGCACUAUCUUGAUAUGGAGUUAAAGCAGUUUAUUUUUAGAAGAAACCUCUAAACUAUAAGCCACCGUUGUCUUCUACGUGGUGUAACAGGUGCAAAAAGAAGAGCUGUUACCUAUAAUUGAAGGAGAUAAUGUUGCAAGAACUUGGCAAUGUUGGGCUUUCUGCUUGAAUGUUGGUGUAAUCUUACACAGAGGUCUCUCUGAACAAAUCUACCACUGUUCAAUUGAACAAGUAAGUAUAAAUAAUCCCUAUAUAAAGGUAAAUCUUGAAUAUUAGGUAGCUUAAUAUCACUUUAAAUAACCUCAGAUUUUGAAAACAACAAUUGACAGCUAAAAGUCAGUUUCCUGAGUUUGCUUUAAAAACAUAUUCCAUUCCCCAGUACCUGUCAUGCAUGUCUUUCUGUUUUUUUUUUUUUAAAAAUAUCAGCUCUCUUCCUGUAACCUAUUUGUUAAUCACGUUUUGAUGACUGACUUUUGGGCAUAUUUCCCAAGACUUUUAAGGCAAGCUUAAUAAACACUAAUAUGUCUGCA
ensembl:lncRNA